rnacentral:tRNA from 1 species
AGAGACUUAGGAUAAAACCAGACCAAAAGCCUUCAAAGCUUUAAGCAGGAGUGGAAAUCUCCUAGUCCCUG